rnacentral:rRNA from 1 species
GAUGAACGCUGGCGGCGUGCUUAACACAUGCAAGUCGAACGAAGCAUAAGAAACGGAUUUCUUCGGAAUGAAAGAUUUUAUGACUGAGUGGCGGACGGGUGAGUAACGCGUGGAUAACCUACCUCAUACAGGGGGAUAACAGUUAGAAAUGACUGCUAAUACCGCAUAAGCGCACAGAACCACAUGGUUCGGUGUGAAAAACUCCGGUGGUAUGAGAUGGAUCCGCGUCUGAUUAGCUAGUUGGUAAGGUAAUGGCUUACCAAGGCGACGAUCAGUAGCCGACCUGAGAGGGUGAUCGGCCACAUUGGGACUGAGACACGGCCCAAACUCCUACGGGAGGCAGCAGUGGGGAAUAUUGCACAAUGGGGGAAACCCUGAUGCAGCGACGCCGCGUGAAGGAUGAAGUGUUUCGGCAUGUAAACUUCUAUCAGCAGGGAAGAAAAUGACGGUACCUGACUAAGAAGCCCCGGCUAACUACGUGCCAGCAGCCGCGGUAAA